CGGCUCAGUAACACGUGGAUAACCUACCCUCAGAUCUGGGAUAACUCCGGGAAACUGGAGAUAAUACCGGAUAAUCCGUGAACGCUGGAAUGCCUUACGGUUGAAAGCUUUAGCGUCUGAGGAUGGGUCUGCGGCCGAUUAGGUAGUUGCUGGGGUAACGUCCCAACAAGCCGAUAAUCGGUACGGGUUGUGAGAGCAAGAGCCCGGAGAUGGAUUCUGAGACACGAAUCCAGGUCCUACGGGGCGCAGCAGGCGCGAAAACUUUACACUGCGCGAAAGCGCGAUAAGGGGACCUCGAGUGCGUGCGCAAAGCGUACGCUUUUCAGAUGCCUAAAAAGCAUCUGGAAUAAGGGCCGGGCAAGACCGGUGCCAGCCGCCGCGGUAACACCGGCGGCUCAAGUGGUGGCCGCUAUUAUUGGGCUUAAAGGGUCCGUAGCCGGACCAGUUAGUCCCUUGGGAAAUCUUACGGCUUAACCGUAAGGCUGCCAAUGGAUACUGCUGGUCUUGGGACCGGGAGAGGCAAGAGGUACCUCAGGGGUAGGAGUGAAAUCCUGUAAUCCUUGAGGGACCGCCAGUGGCGAAGGCGUCUUGCUAGAACGGGUCCGACGGUGAGGGACGAAAGCU
rnacentral:rRNA from 1 species